UACGAAGGGGGCUAGCGUUGCUCGGAAUUACUGGGCGUAAAGGGCGCGUAGGCGGACAGUUUAGUCAGAGGUGAAAGCCCAGGGCUCAACCUUGGAAUUGCCUUUGAUACUGGCUGUCUUGAGUUCGGGAGAGGUGAGUGGAAUGCCGAGUGUAGAGGUGAAAUUCGCAGAUAUUCGGCGGAACACCAGUGGCGAAGGCGACUCACUGGCCCGAUACUGACGCUGAGGCGCGAAAGCCAGGGGAGCAAACGGG
rnacentral:rRNA from 1 species